rnacentral:tRNA from 1 species
GGUUGUGUGGCUCAGAGGUAGAGUGCUCACCUAGCACGUGCGAGGCCCUGGGUUCGCUCCUCAGCACCACAU